rnacentral:rRNA from 1 species
UCAUGCCAAUGGCACUGCCCGGUAGCUAAAUGCGGAAGAGAUAAGUGCUGAAAGCAUCUAAGCACGAAACUUGCCCCGAGAUGAGUUCUCCCUGACCCUUUAAGGGUCCUGAAGGAACGUUGAAGACGACGACGUUGAUAGGCCGGGUGUGUAAGCGCAGCGAUGCGUUGAGCUAACCGGUACUAAUGAACCGUGAGGCUU